rnacentral:tRNA from 1 species
GGAGAGGUGUCCGAGUUGGCCGAAGGAGCACGCCUGGAAAGUGUGUAAGGGUCAAAAGCCCUUCCUGGGUUCGAAUCCCAGCCUCUCCG